rnacentral:rRNA from 1 species
CCUACGGGAGGCUGCAGUAGGGAAUCUUCCACAAUGGGCGAAAGCCUGAUGGAGCAACGCCGCGUGGGUGAAGAAGGUCUUCGGAUCGUAAAACCCUGUUGUUAGAGAAGAAAGUGCGUGAGAGUAACUGUUCACGUUUCGACGGUAUCUAACCAGAAAGCCACGGCUAACUACGUGCCAGCAGCCGCGGUAAUACGUAGGUGGCAAGCGUUAUCCGGAUUUAUUGGGCGUAAAGGGAACGCAGGCGGUCUUUUAAGUCUGAUGUGAAAGCCUUCGGCUUAACCGGAGUAGUGCAUUGGAAACUGGGAGACGUGAGUGCAGAAGAGGAGAGUGGAACUCCAUGUGUAGCGGGGAAAUGCGUAGAGAUAUGGAAGAAAACCAGUGGCGAAAGCGGCUCUCUGGUCUGUAACUGACGCUGAGGUUCGAAAGCGUGGGUAGCAAACAGGAUUAGAUACCCGGGUAGUC